UACAGAGGGGGCGAGCGUUGUUCGGAAUUACUGGGCGUAAAGGGCGCGUUAGGCGGCCUUCUAAGUCGAACGUGAAAUCCCCGGGCUCAACCCGGGAACUGCGUCCGAUACUGGGAGGCUUGAAUCCGGGAGAGGGAUGUGGAAUUCCAGGUGUAGCGGUGAAAUGCGUAGAUAUUCGGAAGAACACCAGUGGCGAAGGCGGCUCACUGGUCCGGUACUGACGCUGAGGUGCGAAAGCGUGGGGAGCAAACAGG
rnacentral:rRNA from 1 species